rnacentral:rRNA from 1 species
UACGUGAGGAGCAAGCGUUGUCCGGAUUUAUGGGCGUAAAGCGCACGCAGGCGGUUUAGUCAGUCGUCUACCGUGACCAGUGUCCGGCUCAACCGGGCAAGUGGUAGGGAAACUGCUAAACUUGAGGGCUUCAGAGGGAUGGGGAACUCCAGGUGGAGUGGUGAAAUGCGUUAGAUAUCUGGAAGAACACCAAUGGGCGAAGGCACCGAUC